rnacentral:rRNA from 1 species
UACGGAGGGUGCAAGCGUUAUCCGGAUUCACUGGGUUUAAAGGGUGCGUAGGCGGGUAGGUAAGUCAGUGGUGAAAUCUUCGAGCUUAACUCGGAAACUGCCUUUGAUACUAUCUAUCUUGAAUAUUGUGGAGGUAAGCGGAAUAUGUCAUGUAGCGAUGAAAUGCUUAGAUAUGACAUAGAACACCCAUUGCGAAGGCAGCUAACUACGCGAAUAUUGACGCUGAGGCACGAAAGCGUGGGGAUCAAACAGG